CCCGCGAUAGCUCAGUUGGCAGAGCGGAGGACUGUAGUGGUUAUGCUGUCAUCCUUAGGUCACUGGUUCGAUUCCGGUUCGCGGGA
rnacentral:tRNA from 1 species